rnacentral:rRNA from 1 species
AUGCCAGAUGUGGUAAAUAGUACAGUACUGGUUCUCAUACCCAAGGUGAAAAACCCUCAGAAACUUACUCAAUUCCGGCCUAUCUCUUUAUGUAACGUGUUAUAUAAAAUAGCAUCAAAAGUUCUAGCACUGCGGUUACGACCUAUUUUGGAUGAAAUAAUUUCUGAGGAGCAGAGCGCCUUCGUUCCAGGAAGGCUUAUAUCUGACAAUGUGUUAACGGCGUACGAGUGUAUCCACUAUCUGAAGAGGAAGAAAGGGAAGUGUGGGAAUUGUGCAAUCAAGCUUGAUAUGGCUAAAGCGUACGACCGAGUUGAGUGGUCGUACUUACGGGCAAUUAUGCAGAAACUUGGUUUUGCUGACUGGUGGAUUAGCAGAGUAAUGGCAUGCGUGGAAACUGUGUCAUUUUCAGUUCGAGUGAAUGGGGUGUUUUCUGAGAUUUUUAAGCCUUCUCGAGGUAUACGGCAAGGGGAUCCCAUCUCGCUGUAUCUAUUUUUGAUAUGUUCUGAGGUGCUAACUAGUUUACUCAAGUCUGUUGGUACAAGACAUCUCUCAAAAGGCAUAAGGGUGGGGAUCCAUGCUCCAUGGAUUACCCAUCUCCUUUUCGCAGAUGAUUGCCUAAUCUUCACUCAGGCGUCUGAGGAUGGUGCUAAGAGAAUCCAUGAUAUUCUAGAAAUAUAUAGAAGAGGCUCUGGCCAGUUGGUUAAUAGAGACAAGUCAGCCAUUUUUUCAAUGCUAAUUGUGAUGAUGUUUUGA